AUGUACUGACUGAACAAGGUGGAGCUGAACACUCAGAGAAGACUGAUGGCAACAUAAGAAGUGAGGCUGAAAUCAAGGUUUCAUCUGAAACUGAGAAAAAAGAUGAAAAGCAGAUGGAAGCGAGUAAUGACAACAUAGCAGGAGGAGGAGGAGAGUCAGAAACCAAAUGUGAGACUGAUAAAAAAGACCCGUUGGAGGAGAGUACAGCCGACACCACGACUGAUCCAAUGAAUGAUGAAGCUCAGCACUCAGAGACGAAGGACACAACCACAGGAGAGGAAACAAAGUCUGCAUCAACUGAAAGCAAAGACAAAAUGGAGCCUGAGCUCACACUUGUGU